AGGAUGACAUUAGCGUGGAAUGACCCAUGAGGCUUGAGUACAGUCUCCUGAACUCCUCGUCCCUGGAGCUGAUUGAGCAACCCACGUGUACCUCCCCAGUCUAAUGGUGAGCCUGGCGCCGCCCCUCGUGGUCUUCCAGCCUCCUCACCAGUGCAUCUUCCACUCCUCUGAGCUUGUGUAUAACUUGACCAACCAGUGAUGAGAGCGUGUGAAGCAGUUUGCCA